GUUAACGAACGAGACCCCCGCCUGCUAAAUAGUGGGGCUUACGUUUCUACGUAGGCAGCUCGCUUCUUAGAGGGACUUUCGGUGACUAACCGAAGGAAGUUGGGGG
rnacentral:rRNA from 2 species